rnacentral:rRNA from 1 species
CAGCAGCCGCGGUAAUACGUAGGCUCCAAGCGUUGUUCGGAAUUACUGGGCGUAAAGCGAGUGUAGGCGGUCCGUCAAGUCGGUUGUGAAAUCUCCUGGCUCAACUGGGAGGGUGCGAUCGAAACUGACGGACUGGAGUCUGGGAGAGGAGAGUGGAAUUCCUGGUGUAGCGGUGAAAUGCGUAGAUAUCAGGAGGAACACCGGUGGUGAAGACGGCUCUCUGGACCGGUACUGACGCUGAGACUCGAAAGCGUGGGGAGCAAACAGGAUUAGAUACCCUGGUAGUCCACGCCCUAAACGAUGCGAACUGGAUGUUGGGUGCAAUUUGGCACGCAGUAUCGAAGCUAACGCGUUAAGUUCGCCGCCUGGGGAGUACGGUCGCAAGACUGAAACUCAAAGGAAUUGACGG